UAGGGAAUCUUCGGCAAUGGGGGGAACCCUGAACGAGCAACGCCGCGUGAGUGAAGAAGGUUUUCGGAUCGUAAAGCUCUGUUGUUAAGGAAGAACGAGUGUGAGAAUGGAAAGUUCAUGCUGUGACGGUACUUAACCAGAAAGGGACGGCUAACUACGUGCCAGCAGCCGCGGUAAUACGUAGGUCCCGAGCGUUGUCCGGAUUUAUUGGGCGUAAAGCGAGCGCAGGCGGUUAGAAAAGUCUGAAGUGAAAGGCAGUGGCUCAACCAUUGUAGGCUUUGGAAACUGUUUAACUUGAGUGCAGAAGGGGAGAGUGGAAUUCCAUGUGUAGCGGUGAAAUGCGUAGAUAUAUGGAGGAACACCGGUGGCGAAAGCGGCUCUCUGGUCUGUAACUGACGCUGAGGCUCGAAAGCGUGGGGAGCGAACAGG
rnacentral:rRNA from 1 species